rnacentral:ncRNA from 1 species
AGAUAGAGGUGCGUUGUCAAUAAGUACGGCAAUUGAGAAUACAGGUUCUUUGAUGUUGCAUAAAAGGUGGCAAUGCCGAAGAAAUAUGCCCCCUGUAGGGCACAUUGUCUGGGGAUGCGCAUAAUAUGCGUAUAACUGUCACUUUAAUUAAAGUGUUGUGC